rnacentral:rRNA from 1 species
CCUACGGGCGGCUGCAGUGGGGAAUAUUGGACAAUGGGGGGAACCCUGAUCCAGCCAUGCCGCGUGUGUGAAGAAGGCCUUUUGGUUGUAAAGCACUUUAAGCGAGGAGGAGGCUACUCUAGUUAAUACCUAGGGAUAGUGGACGUUACUCGCAGAAUAAGCACCGGCUAACUCUGUGCCAGCAGCCGCGGUAAUACAGAGGGUGCGAGCGUUAAUCGGAUUUACUGGGCGUAAAGCGUGCGUAGGCGGCUUUUUAAGUCGGAUGUGAAAUCCCUGAGCUUAACUUAGGAAUUGCAUUCGAUACUGGGAAGCUAGAGUAUGGGAGAGGAUGGUAGAAUUCCAGGUGUAGCGGUGAAAUGCGUAGAGAUCUGGAGGAAUACCGAUGGCGAAGGCAGCCAUCUGGCCUAAUACUGACGCUGAGGUACGAAAGCAUGGGGAGCAAACAGGAUUAGAUACCCCUGUAGUC